rnacentral:rRNA from 1 species
GAUGAACGCUAGCGGCAGGCUUAACACAUGCAAGUCGAGGGGUAGAGGCUUUCGGGCCUUGAGACCGGCGCACGGGUGCGUAACGCGUAUGCAAUCUGCCUUGUACUGGGGGAUAGCCCAGAGAAAUUUGGAUUAAUACCCCAUAGUAUUUUCGGUUGGCAUCAACUGAUUAUUAAAGUUUUUCGGUACAAGAUGAGCAUGCGUCCCAUUAGCUAGUUGGUAUGGUAACGGCAUACCAAGGCUACGAUGGGUAGGGGUCCUGAGAGGGAGAGCCCCCACACGGGUACUGAGACACGGACCAGACUCCUACGGGAGGCAGCAGUGAGGAAUAUUGGUCAAUGGUCGCAAGACUGAACCAGCCAUGCCGCGUGCAGGAUGAAGCAUCUAUGGUGUGUAAACUGCUUUUGUACGGGAAGAAACACUCCUACGUGUAGGGGCUUGUCGGUACCGUAAGAAUAAGGAUCGGCUAACUCCGUGCCAGCAGCCGCGGUAACAC